CACUUUUGUCUGCUAAUGCACCCAGGCACCCAGCAGAAGGAGAUUGGCGAGCUGAAGGCAGUGAUGGAGGGCAUCAAGAUGGAGCACCAGCUGGAGCUGGGUAACCUGCAGGCCAAGCAUGCCCUGGAGACCGCCAUGCACGUGGAGGAGAAGGAGGCCCUGCGGGAGAAGCUGCAGGAGGCCCAGGAGGAGCUGGCCGGGCUGCAGCGGCACUGGCGGGCCCAGCUGGAGGUGCAAGCCGCCAGCACCGGCUGGAGCUGCAGGAGGCCCAGGACCAGCGCUGGGACGCCGAGCUGCGCGUGCACGAGCUGGAAAAGCUGGAUGUGGAGUACAGGGGCCAGGCGCAGGCCAUCGAGUUCCUCAAGGAGCCGAUCUCGCUGGCCGAAAAGAAGAUGCUGGACUACAAGCGGCUGCAGUGGGCCAAAGCCCAGAGCAAACAGGAGGCCGAGAGGUUGCGGGAGAAGCUCCUGGUGGCCGAGGACAGACUCCAGGCGGUAGAGGCCCUGUGCUCCUCCCAGCACACCCACAUGAUUGAGUCGAAUGACAUUUCAGAGGAGAUGAUCAGGACGAAGGAAACCGUGGAGGGCCUGCAGGACAAGCUGAACAAGAGGGACAAAGAGGUGACAGCCUUGACCUCCCAGACCGAGAUGCUCAGGGCCCAAGUACGUGCGCUGGAGAGCAAGUGCAAGCCCGGCGAGAAGAAGGUGGACGCCCUCCUGAAGGAGAAGCGGCGCCUGGAGGCGGAGCUGGAGGCCGUGUCCCGGAAGACCCACGACGCCUCGGGCCAGCUGGUCCUCAUCAGCCAGGAGCUGCUGCGGAAGGAGCGGAGCCUGAACGAACUGCGGGUGCUGCUGCUGGAAGCCAGUCGCCACUCCCCGGGGCCCGAGAGGGACCUGAGCCGCGAGGUGCACAAGGCUGACUGGCGCAUCAAGGAGCAGAAGCUCAAGGACGACAUCCAGGGCCUGCGUGAAAAGCUGAUCGGGCUGGACAAGGAGAAGCCCCUGUGGGUUCAGAGGCACUACUCAUCGACCCCUCCUCCUCGGGCGUGGGCCUGAGCUCUUGCAGCUGCAGCACCAGCUGAUGAGCACGGAGACACCCUGCGGGAUGCGCUGGACCAGGCUCAGCAGGUGGAGAAGCUGAUGGAGGCCAUGAGGAGCUGCCCCGACAAGGCCCAGACCAUCUGCAAUUCCGGUUCUGCAAACGGCAUCCACCAGCCGGACAAAGCUCAGAAGCAAGAGGACAAGCACUGACCCCAAAUGGAUUCCGUGGAGUGGCCCAGUCCACACCAUAGCCCCCUGAAGCUGCCCAGUGGCACCUCCUCCAGGCAGGAGCCGGGACUCUCACUUUUGAGACAAAACAGUGUUUGAAACAAUAAGGUACUCACCGCCGUGGACAAUCCCCACCCUGAUCCCCUGCCAGACCAGGAAGCUUCCUCAAGCCUGGCCUUCCACAGAGAGUGAGAGCAGUACAGCUCUGGCCUGACCCGGGGACCUUCGGCCCGGAUGCCUGGCAGCUUCUGGAGUUUGUCGGUGAAGGCAGAGGGAUCCAGCUAGGCCCAGAAGGAACUGCCCUGAUGACCAUCUUAGCACCCCUGUGCUCUUUUUCUGCCUGUUCUCCCUCGGGUCUCCCCAGGAUGCGGGAAGGGGGCUCAGUUUGUCCAUGCAGGCACCAAGGAGGAAAGUCCAGUCUUUAAGAGUCAAAUGGGAGCCCCUUUUCUGAAGCCAUUUCCAGGCCAAGGCAGUCCCCAGGGCUUCUUGUCCCCACCUUCUGAACCUUCUUCAAACAGUGGUACAGGUUCCCCUCAGCCAGCCUGCCUGCCCAGCAAGGCCCCCAGGUUCAAGGUGUUGGCAGGUUGGGGACAGGAUUCUCCUCCCCCAUCAACACCAACACACACACACACCUCUAAACUGCUGGCCGAGGAUGUCACCAAGGCCCCAGAGCCACAGUAUUAUGAAGGUUUGGAAGUCCCUCUCCUCACCUCCCACCGUGAGCUUGGGCAAACCCUGGCUCGGAGCUCGGGGCAGGGGGAGCCUGGGGUGGAGGCACCAGGCAGGUUUGACAAAGGUCAGUAAUACGGUGUCCCCUGGGGCUGACCAGAUCUUCCAAAUCAUCUGUAUCCACCUGCAAAUGCAUAUGAGCGGGCCCUUAUGUACACACCACAUUCACACACACACGCACACUCAGAGGGACCACGUGUGCUCACGAUCGUGUGGGUGGUGCCAUGAACCACACCCAGGCCACACAGAGACACAUAUUGGCUUCUGGGACUGAGACCCAGGCCUGGCAGGAUGGUACCCACAGACACUGCAGACAUUCCCACAGCUGAGAGGUGCGCACACACCAGGUACCUGCAGCUGGGUGUUCGGGGGUGUGUGUACCACACAGAACAGCCCUUCCUUGUCUCACCAGUCACCUGCACAGCACACCUCCAGCCCCAUCUCCUCGAGGGGGAGGGGGGAAAGACAAAUCUAACUGUCUCAUACCCCCAACCCCUACCCUGUCUUCCCCUCAAGCCUGCUAAGUUAUCCCAGGCCUGUGCAUGCUGGAAGAAGCCAGUCUUGGCCCUGCAGCCUCCUCUCCACUGGGGAAUGGAUGGGUUGCUUACAGCUUUACCCCCUGGCCACCCGACAUCAGCACAGGGGGUCCUGCCCCACCCUCUGGCAGCUCAGGGAGUGUUUUCCUUUGAGGCCUCCUCCACCAGGGGACCAGAGGGAGAAGUCCGAUGCCCCAUCCCGGCUUUCCCUUAACUCACAGGACGUGUGUGCAAUUCAUAUGAACGGCCCAGGUCACCCUUGUGAGCCCCGCCUGGUACAGGUAGGUGGCACUCACGCUCCUGCACACAUGCAGCCCAAGUGGGAGUCAGAGUCAGUCCUCCGGGCCCCCUGCCAGUCCCCGUCAGCUUUCGGUAGCUCACAUGCAGUUCUAACAGCUGUCUAGAAGCAAUGCUUUAGUGGCCUAACCCAGGGUCAAAUACAGCUCUUUCCAGCCAAGUCAGGCAGCUCUGCACCAUCCGCGGGGGCACCAAUUAGUCCACUAACAGC